GGAACGCUGGAGAUAGAUGGGUCAUCGCAUUCGCAAUGCGAAGGUCAGGGGUUCGAUUCCCCUCGGCUCCACCA
rnacentral:tRNA from 1 species